GGACUACAAGGGUUUCUAAUCCCGUUUGCUCCCCUGGCUUUCGCGCCUCAGCGUCAGUUGAGGUCCAGCACGCCGCUUUCGCCACCGGAGUUCCAUUGGAUAUCAACGCAUUUCACCGCUCCACCCAAUGUUCCGCAUGCCCCUACCUCACUCGAGGCCGCCAGUAUCAAAAGCUGUUCUCCAGUUGAGCUGGAGUAUUUCACCCCUGACUUGGCGGCCCGCCUACGCGCCCUUUAAGCCCAGUGAUUCCGAACAACGUUCGCACGGUUCGUCUUACCGCGGCUGCUGGCAC
rnacentral:rRNA from 1 species